CCCCCGGGUCGAGCCCCGAACCGCUUCCCUGUGGUGGAGUCAGCUGAGGGGCGCUGACCAGACCUGUGGUCAGUCCUGGGAGCCCGGAGAGGGGAAGCCCAGCCUCCAGGCGGAAGGCUCCCUGGAGGAGGCGGGCGGCGGCGGGUCAGCGGCACCGAGCAGCUGAAAUCUCCAACGAUGGGCCUAACAUCAUCUGUGUCACGGAGAAGGAAACGAAGGGCACCCAAAUCAGAACACGCAAAAGGUCCUGGAUGCAGAGCUUGCUGUAGCCACGGGGUCCCCAGCCAUCACCUGUGUUGGGCGGAGUCUCCAAGGCCGGCAGAGGAGUGGGGAAGUUUUACAGUGGAAAGAAGCGGCUCAGCUCUGCCCUGUUGGAGAUGUAUGGCCUGGGGACGCUGGUUGCUGAAUUACCUUGGUGGACUCCCAGUGGGCAUCCUCUGUGACCAGCUUGGCCUGAUGGCUGGGAGCCAACCGCUUGGCAGAGCUGGGGCCCGUGAAGCCGUGUUCCUGACACCGGGUGG